rnacentral:ncRNA from 1 species
AGCCAACGAAGCACCGGUAAAUAGCUGGGGUAACUAUGACUCUUAUCAAAGUAGCGAAAUACCUCGUCACUUAAUUAGUGACCUGCAUGAACGGAGCUAUGAGGUUCUCACUGUCCCAAACUGUCUCUCAGCGAACCAACUGUAGUGGGAACGGUCACUAGAUAUCCAGCGGGGAAAGAAGACCCUGUAGAGCUUCACUUUGGUCUAGUCUUGUAUAGUUCCUGCGGGGGUGUAGACUAGGUGGGAGAGCAAUCGAUUCUGAAAAACCACUACCCUGUUUGGAAUUAUGCUUACCUAUCACAAGGAAUAGGACUAGAUAGAAAGUUUGGCUGGGGCGGCACACCUUCGAAAGAGCAGCGAAGGUGUCCUAAGUUGAGCUCAGUGAGGACAGAAAUCUCACGUUGAGGAUAAGGCCAAAAGCUCAAUUUACUGUGCCUUUUUGUACUAAGAUCAGUUACGAAAGUAAGGCCUAACGAUCCCUAAAUAGCCUCAUGUGCGUGAGGAUUGGGGUGACAGACAAGUUACCUCCGGGACAACUGGCUUGUGGCUGCUAAGAGAUCAAAUCAACGCAGCUUUUUGAUUCUUCGAUGUCGGCUCUUCCUAUCCUAGUGAUGUACAAGUUGCUAAGGGUCGGAUUGUUCACCCGUAUUAGGGAUCGUGAGCUGGGUUUAGACCGUCGUGAGCCAGGUUUGUUUUAUCCUACUGGAUAUAGCAUCAUGAUAGUAGAUUGAUUUAGUACGAGAGGAACUGUUGAUUAUGGCCUCUGGUUAGCGAUUAUCG